rnacentral:rRNA from 1 species
AUACGAAGGGGGCUAGCGUUGUUCGGAAUUACUGGGCGUAAAGCGCGCGUAGGCGGACUGAUCAGUUGGGGGUGAAAUCCCAGGGCUUAACCCUGGAACUGCCUCCAAUACUGUCAGUCUUGAGUUCGGGAGAGGUGAGUGGAAUUCCUAGUGUAGAGGUGAAAUUCGUUGAUAUUAGGAAGAACACCAGUGGCGAAGGCGGCUCACUGGCCCGAUACUGACGCUGAGGCGCGAAAGCGUGGGGAGCAAACAGGAUUAGAAACCCUAGUAGUCC